UACACACGGAUUGAAGUGGAUUUAACAUGGGGAUAUUAUCUUUCUCCUGGAUUCACCUGGUCAGUGAAUGUCAUGGGAUGGAACAGGAGUUCCUAAUGUUUUGUACACUCAGUGGAGCUUGAGACAGAAGGGUCGCUGUAAAACAAUUGGUACUUUUGCCUGCUUCCGCAGACACCAUUCCAAUGUAUUAAAUAAUACAAAAUCCUAUAGUAGCUGGAAUCUAAAUGCUCAACAUUUAAAAUUCUCAUUCACAUUAAAUAGCUCUUCAGGAGUAUCCUAACACUCCAUUAUUUUCAACAGAGCAGACUUUUAGUGUUGAGGAUGGCCCGGCAGUGUAAAAGAAAUAGAGUGGUGGGGCAAUCAUGCAUCUAAUUGCACAAGUAUAGGAUACAUUCACCUGUAUUCUGAUCAAUAUCAAAUGGAAUUUAGGUAAAGGAAAAAAACAAAACAAUAGGUAGAUUCUUAUAAAGAUGACAAACUAGCAGCCCCUUGUAUCUCCUCCCUCUUUACCUGACCAUCCCCCACUAUCCCUCGUUAUUUACUCCCUCUUUACCUCUCCAUCAUCUCCCUCUUUACCUCCAUCCCUCUCCAUCACCUCCCUCUUUAACCCUCCAUCACCUCCCUCUUUACCUCUCUUCCUCCCUCUUUACCUCUUCAUCACCUCCCUCUUUACCUCUAUCCCAAUCUAUCACCUCCCUCUUUAACCCUCCAUCACCUCCCUCUUUACCUCUCUUCCUCCCUCUUUACCUCCAUCCCCCUCUAUCACCUCCCUCUCUAGAUGGUCAUGUACUGUGUGUUUCAUCACUCCAGCUUGUUUCUGUUUUGUCAAAUUCAAGGCGUUACAAUUGUCCUCAGUCUCCCCUAUCUUGUGCUUACAGGCAAGGUGCACCAAUAUUACAAAACAAAUAAAAUGUUGGAUGGAUCCUAUUGACCAUUAGUUCCCAUAUUCUAGAGGUUACUCUCACCAGGCUGUAUCACCCGGCUGUGAUUGGGAGUUCCAUAGGACUUUGGCCCUGCGUCGUCCGGGUUUGGCCGGUAUCUUGAGGUUACUCUCACCACUUACAGUAAAUAUUGUUAUACACUGCCAAGGGUUGUUGUGGCAGUCCCUGCCUCUGACUGACUUAGUCUCACCGAGCUGUAUCACAACUCAACACACAACAUGAUUUGGAGUCCCACAGGGCAGCGCACAAUUGGCCCAGCGUUGUCCAGGUUUGGCCGGUGUAGGCCGUCAUUGUAAAUAAGAAUUUGUUCUUAAUGGACUUGCCUAGAUAAAUAAAGGUUUUAAAAAAAAUACACUUGUAUAUAUUGUUAUACACUGCCAAGGGUUGUUGUGGCAGUCCCUGCCUCUGACUGACUUACUGGGAACUUUCGUGUUGCACUAAACGUUCUGUAUGGUGACUAAUAGGAUGCACGAGUCUGUUCUUACCCUCAUUACGCAAGCCUGCAAAUAAUAUGUAUCCCCAUUAUAACUAACGAGCAGUGCUGUAAUCAGAGCCUGAUGGGACGGAUGGCUCUCCC
rnacentral:lncRNA from 13 species